GCACUGCUUGUCACGCCAUGCUGUGGUGGCCAUCCCACAUAUAGGGUAGAGGAGGAUGGAUACAGAUGUCAUCUCAGGGCCAAUUUUCCUCAGCAAA